rnacentral:tRNA from 1 species
GAAGGUAUAGCUCACCUGGUAAAGCGUAUGCUCAGCAUGCAUGAGGUCCUGGGUUCAAUCCCAGGUACCUCCU